AGGACGAACGCUGGCGGCGUGCUUAACACAUGCAAGUCGAGCGGUAAGGCCUUUCGGGGUACACGAGCGGCGAACGGGUGAGUAACACGUGGGUGAUCUGCCCUGCACUUCGGGAUAAGCCUGGGAAACUGGGUCUAAUACCGGAUAUGACUUCAGGUUGCAUGACUUGGGGUGGAAAGAUUUAUCGGUGCAGGAUGGGCCCGCGGCCUAUCAGCUUGUUGGUGGGGUAAUGGCCUACCAAGGCGACGACGGGUAGCCGACCUGAGAGGGUGACCGGCCACGACUGGGACUGAGACACGGCCCAGACUCCUACGGGAGGCAGCAGUGGGGAAUAUUGCACAAUGGGCGAAAGCCUGAUGCAGCGACGCCGCGUGAGGGAUGGACGGCCUUCGGGUUGUAAACCUCUUUCAGCGAGGACGAAGCGACAAGUGACGGACCUGCGAGAAGAAGCACCGGCAACUACGUGCCAGCAGCCGAC
rnacentral:rRNA from 1 species